UUGCCACGCCAGAUGGCAGCCCUUGCCCAUUGCCGAUUUCGAUCAGGUUGCUUGAGUGCCCAGCAGCCUUGCAACCCUAAACUAGUGUUGCACUCGCCCUUCACGCAAAGGCGGCAAUUACACCUCUCCCCAUGGGUCUUGGUCGCCCGCUUCUCCCCAACUCAAAAUGAAACGGGCUUGUCGGCGAUGCCGCGCUCGGGCCUUCUACCGUCUGACGCGGGCCCGCCAAUGGACAUGGCGGCCAUUCAUGCCCCGCUAGUAGCAAGGGCAUCGAAAGUGGUUUCACCACGCCGGCUGCCAAAGGCCGGGCGGGUCCAGUGCCAAGCUGGCUGCAUAUUGC
rnacentral:telomerase_RNA from 1 species